rnacentral:sRNA from 1 species
UCCUAGCCCAGAUUAAAGUGGAAAUCCUUUUUAUUUUUUCUUUAAAAAUAAAAAGAUUAUAACGGAAAGCUGGAAAUAGC